CAGCAGCCGCGGGAAUACGAAGGGGGCUAGCGUUGUUCGGAAUUACUGGGCGUAAAGCGCACGUAGGCGGACAUUUAAGUCAGGGGUGAAAUCCCGGGGCUCAACCCCGGAACUGCCUUUGAUACUGGGUGUCUAGAGUAUGGAAGAGGUGAGUGGAAUUCCGAGUGUAGAGGUGAAAUUCGUAGAUAUUCGGAGGAACACCAGUGGCGAAGGCGGCUCACUGGUCCAUUACUGACGCUGAGGUGCGAAAGCGUGGGGAGCAAACAGGAUUAGAUACCCCCGUAGUCCCUGUCUCUUAUAC
rnacentral:rRNA from 1 species